rnacentral:rRNA from 1 species
ACGGUAGCAGGCCUUCGGGCGCUGACGAGUGGCGGACGGGUGAGUAACGCGUAGGAAUCUGCCUGUUAGUGGGGGACAACGUGGGGAAACCCACGCUAAUACCGCAUACGCCCUACGGGGGAAAGGAGGGGAUCUUCGGACCUUUCGCUAACAGAUGAGCCUGCGUUAGAUUAGCUAGUUGGUAGGGUAAAGGCCUACCAAGGCGACGAUCUAUAGCUGGUCUGAGAGGACGAUCAGCCACACUGGGACUGAGACACGGCCCAGACUCCUACGGGAGGCAGCAGUGGGGAAUAUUGGACAAUGGGCGAAAGCCUGAUCCAGCAAUACCGCGUGUGUGAAGAAGGCCUUAGGGUUGUAAAGCACUUUCAAUUGGGAGGAAAACCUGCCGGUCAAUACCCGGUAGCUUGACAUUACCUUUAGAAGAAGCACCGGCUAACUCCGUGCCAGCAGCCGCGGUAAUACGGAGGGUGCGAGCGUUAAUCGGAAUUACUGGGCGUAAAGCGUGCGUAGGCGGUUCGUUAAGUCAGAUGUGAAAGCCCUGGGCUCAACCUGGGAACUGCAUUUGAAACUGGCGGACUAGAGUUUAGUAGAGGGGAGUGGAAUUUCAGGUGUAGCGGUGAAAUGCGUAGAUAUCUGAAGGAACACCAGUGGCGAAGGCGACUCCCUGGACUAGAACUGACGCUGAGGUACGAAAGCGUGGGUAGCAAACAGGAUUAGAUACCCUGGUAGUCCACGCCGUAAACGAUGUCGACUAGCCGUUGGGCCUAUUUACAGGUUUAGUGGCGCAGCUAACGCAUUAAGUCGACCGCCUGGGGAGUACGGCCGCAAGGUUAAAACUCAAAUGAAUUGA